rnacentral:lncRNA from 1 species
GAGGAGGCGGGGCUGCAGCCUGAAACUCUGCGGACUCGGAGCUGCGAAACCAGGCCAAGAGUGGUGGGGUAACUGGUGCAAGCAUGGCUCAUCGGCGGUGGCUCUAACGUGCAAACCCAGCUCUUCAGCACUUCUCCAUAGAGGAUGGGAUCUGUGUCUCCGGGGGCUGCGGUAACAAACACCACAGACCAGCUGGGUCCCCGUACCUAAGACUGGCCAAGGACAAGGAGUUCCUGUUGUGGCUGAGCAGUAACAAACCUAACAUCCAUGAGGAUGCAAGUUCGACCCCUGGCCUUGCUCAUUGGGUUAAUGAUCCAGCGUUGCCAUGAGCUGUGGUGUAGGUCCCAGCAUUGCUAUGGCUGUGGUAUAGGCCAGCAGCUGCAGCUCCAAUUCAGCCCCUGCCUUGGGAACUUCCAUAUGCCACAGUGAUGGUGACAAUUGAGCUGUGCCAGAACAACCAAGGCUGGAUCGACUGGCUCUCACCACCUGGACCAUGAUGGACUGUCCUUCUCAGGCUUCCAGCACAGCCACCUCCUGCCGGGGGAUGCAGGAAUCAGGCCACCUCCGUCUGUCCUUGCCAGAGACUAGGCUGCACCACAAGAAGCUCCUGGCUUAGCCCUGGAUCCUAACUGUCACGUGGCCAGAGAAACUGGACACUGUCACCCCACAUGUGUGGGAUGGAGGUUCCCACUUUUGUCUGCCUCGACUCCUGCUGUUUACAAGAUGCAUGGUUUCCUGAUGCUUGGCCCGUGCCUCCCUUUCUCUGCUCAUGUCUAGCUAUCUGCCUCCUGUGAUUUUCCCUAUUUGGGAAAAUCUUCCAAAAUAUCUUUUUUUUUUUUUUUUUUUUGGCUUAAGCAACAGACAUUUAUUUCUCACAGUUCUACAGGCUGGAAAAUCUAAGAUCAGGGUGCCAGCAUGGUCAAAUUCUUGGUGAGAACCCUUUUCUUGCCUUAUAGAUGGCCACCUUCUUUCUGUAUUCCCACACAGGGGAGAGAAAGCAAGCUCUGGUCUCUUUCUUUUUUCUUUUUAAUAGAAGUAUAGUUGAUUUACAAUGUUAAUUUCUGCUGUACAGAAAAAUAAUUCAGUUUUUUAAUGUAUAUAUAUAUGACACAUACACAUAUGUACUUUUUAAAUAUGUGUGAAUAUACACACACACACUUUUUAAAAAUAUUAUUUUCCAUUGUGAUUUAUCAUAGGACUUUGAAUAUAGUUCUCUGUGCUACACAGUAGGAUCUUGUUGUUAAAAAUAUCAUGUAAAGUGGUUGGAUAUGCAUUUCACCAGCAGUGAAGGAAAGUUCCUUUUGUUCCUCAUCCCCCAUCCAUCAGCGUAUCACUUUUUUGGCGUUUAUUAAGUCUAAUAGCUGUGCAGAGCUAUCUCAUUGUUUUAAUUGGUAAUUCCCUAAUGGUUUAUAAAGUUGAACAUGUUCUUGUAUGCUUAUUUACUAUCUGUAUAUCUUCUUUGUCCAGGUAUCUGUUCCAAUCUUUACCUAUUUUUAAGGGUGUUUGUUCUAGAGAGUUCUUGGAAUAAUUUUUUUUGCACAAAUCUUUUAUCAGAUAUGUAUUUUGCAAAUAAUUUUCUUUCAGUUUGUGGCUUGUCUUUUGGCUUUCUGAAUAAGACAUUUCAGAGUUUUUUUAAAAAUUUUAAAUCCAUGUUCAAAAUUUUAUUUGUGCAUAGGGUUUUGAGGUUUUGUGUUAAAAUUUACCAAAUUCAGAGUCAUGUAGAUUUCCUUCUAUGUUUUCAUCUACAACUUUUAUAGUUUUGCAUUAUAAAUUUGUCUAUGUACAAUUUUGAGUGAAUUUUGUUAUAGGUUGUAAAUUUGUGUCUACAGUGUUUUGCUUGCAUAUGGAUCCCAAUUAAUUAUUCUACAGCUCUUUUUGGAGAAAUCAUGGGAUAUUUGGCUCCAUUUCAGUGCGGAUUUCCAAAUUUAGUGGUUUCUGCAGGCUUUCCACCUGGAAGCAUGGGCUUCUCUGAACUAGGAGAUUGCAGGCUACACUUCCUAACUGGCCAGCAGGCAGUGCCAAGGCUGCCUCUCUGACCCUUGAGGUGCAUGUGUUCCCACUGAUGGACUUGGCUGGUGAAGGGGCUUGGCUUCUCCUACCACUGAUAGAAGCUCAAUCUCAGGAGUUCACUUGUGGUGCAGCAGGUUAAGGAUCCAGCAUCAUCAUUGUAGCAGCUCACGUUGCUGCUGUGGUGUGGGUUCAAUCCCUGGCCCAGAAACUUCCACAUGCCAUGGAAGUCAAUGUGGCAAAAAAAAAAAAAAAAAAAAAAAAAAAAAAA